rnacentral:rRNA from 1 species
UACGGAGGGGGCGAGCGUUAUUCGGAAUUAUUGGGCGUAAAGGGCGCGUAGGCGGCUUGAUAAGUCAAAGGUGAAAUCCCUCGGCUCAACUGAGGAACUGCCUUUGAAACUGUCAGACUUGAGGCCGGGAGGGGGUAGCGGAAUUCCCAGUGUAGCGGUGAAAUGCGUAGAUAUUGGGAGGAACACCAGUGGCGAAGGCGGUCCCCUGGGCCGGAACUGACGCUGAGGCGCGAAAGCGUGGGUAGCAAACGGG